GCCGCGUUGGCGUAGUGGUAUGCGCAUCCCACUUGUAAUGGGAAGGUCACCCGUUCGACCCGGGUACGUGGCA